UUACAGAGUUAGGGUCCCUCGGGGCCCGACCUCCCAACCCUUUGUUUAUCGAACUACUGUUGCUUCGGUGGACCCGUCCAUACCGGACCGCCGGGGGAUCGCUGAUUGGCGUCCUCUUGGCCCGUGUCCGCCGACAGCCUCCCUAAAUUCUGUGAAACAAAUCAUGUUUUAUGUCUAAGUCAAAGAUUGAAAUAAAAGCAAAACUUUCAACAACGGAUCUCUUGGUUCUGGCAUCGAUGAAGAACGCAGCGAAAUGCGAUAAGUAAUGCGAAUUGCAGAAUUCCAGUGAGUCAUCGAAUCUUUGAACGCACAUUGCGCCCUUUGGUAUUCCGAAGGGCAUGCCUGUUCGAGCGUCAUUAUCACCUCUUAAGCCCCGUGCUUGGUGUUGGGCGGCUGGUCUCGCGCAUGCCGAGACCCGUCCUAAAGACAAUGACGGCGGCCCCGUGGUUCCCCUGGUACAUUGAGCUUCUCACCGAGCACGUACCGGAUAAGGGCGCCCGGGCCACGGUCCUCUCCCUCCGGGGAAAUUUUGCAAGGUUGACCUCGGAUCAGGUAGGAAUACGCGCUGAACUUAA
rnacentral:rRNA from 1 species